GACCGAUAGUGAACCAGUACCGUGAGGGAAAGGUGAAAAGCACCCCGGAAGGGGUGUGAAAUAGAACCUGAAACCGUGUGCUUACAAAUAGUCAGAGCUCGUUAAUGGGUGAUGGCGUGCCUUUUGUAGAAUGAACCGGCGAGUUACGAUUUGAUGCCAGGUUAAGCAGUAAAUGUGGAGCCGUAGCGAAAGCGAGUCUGAAUAGGGCGUAUGAGUAUCUGGUCGUAUACCCUAAAUCAAGUGAUCUACCCAUGUCCAGGUUGAUGUUCAGGUAACACUGAAUGGAGCACCGAACCGACUU
rnacentral:rRNA from 2 species